GUGCUCACUUCAGCAACACAUAUACUAAAAUUGGAAAAAUAAAGAAGAUUAGCAUGGCCCCUGUACAAGGAUGACAUGCAAAUUCAUUAAUUGUUCCAUAUUUUU